GUGAGGAAUAUUGCGCAAUGGGCGAAAGCCUGACGCAGCAACGCCGCGUGUAGGACGAAAUCCUUCGGGAUGUAAACUACUGUUAGAGGAGAAGAAACUUCGGCUACGCCGAAAGUGACGGUAUCCUCAGAGAAAGCCACGGCUAACUCUGUGCCAGCAGCCGCGGUAAUACAGGGGUGGCAAGCGUUGUCCGGAAUUACUGGGUGUAAAGGGUGCGUAGGCGGGUCGGCAAGUCCGUGGUAAAAUCCUACAGCUUAACUGUAGACGGUCCAUGGAUACUGCUGAUCUUGAGUGCGAGAGAGAAGAGUGGAAUUCCCAGUGUAGCGGUGAAAUGCGUAGAUAUUGGGAAGAACACCAGUUGCGAAGGCGGCUCUUUAGCUCGUUACUGACGCUGAGGCACGAAAGCAUGGGGAGCAAACAGGAUUAGAUACCCCUGUAGUCC
rnacentral:rRNA from 1 species